AGCCACUCCACAGCCGAGGAGACAGACUCGAUCCAGCGGUGCGUCUUGGUGAAUCUUAGCAACGUUGUAUUCAGGAACGACCGUGUAUUCAGAGAAAGUGCCUAGACCAGAAAACUGAUGCACCUGCUGCCCCCUACAGACAUUAUCACAGCACAGCUUUACAAAAAUCCAGAUCUAAAAUUUGUAGGAAGAAACUUGAGAGGAACCUGGUUCAGAAUAUAGGUUCGUCUUUGAGCUCAAACAGAACUCACAGUCAUCACAGUGAGGCAGGAGGACAGGGAUCACCUUAUCACCUGGAGGGAAGAACAGGAAGAAGAAGAAGAACUGAGCAAAAUGGUACGACAAAUUAAAAGUGUGUGAAAAAAUAUUUGCUCAACCUGUUAUCAUCAAACCAAAUCUCUCUCAUUUCCUUGAGUUUCAGUGUAUAUCACAAACUGUGUACCUUUGAUUUCUCUAUAACCUGAUACAGGUGAGAGAUGAUACUCAGGCUCAGACAGCUGCUAAUUACUGACCAGUCCACAAUAAUUCUUAUGUGUCAGCUAAUUAACCCAAAGACUUCACUACCGGAUCUUUCAGAACAAGAAUCUCCACCUACACACCAAGGAUGCUGUUUACUACGCUGUCUGUAUAUCAGACCUCCUCUACAAUUGGGUUUCUGGAAGCCUGGGUCACACCCUGAAGGGACAUGAGUGCUUCCACGUAUUGUAGGAUCCUGGGGCUCACCUGCUGUGAUCAUGUGCCUCAUACUGACAUACUGCACUUACCAGACCAACUGCAGAAGUAUUGAGGCCACUGGGUAGGUCACAUUAUCAGAACCAACUGCCCCACAGAGUACUUUACAGUCAGGUACAUUGUGUCCAAGGCUCAGCAGGUAUGCAGAAGAACAUGUAUAGAGACCAGGUGAAGCUUUUCAUCUGCUGACUGUAACACUGUAACACUGCUGACUGUGACACCUGGCAGCAGCUCGUCCUUAAUGGGAUUCAAACACUUUAUGAAGAGGACAGGACUAGGAGGAAAUACCAUAAGCAACUGAAGAAGAACACACCAGACUUUACUGCUACCACCACAACCACUUAUAAAUACCCCAUCUGUAAGACAACCUGGGGUUCCAGGAUUAGACUGUUUAGCCAUCUCAGAACCCACCAUUACAGGACAAAAAUGGACAUCAUCAUCAGGUUACAAUGGACAUUAAGCAAGCAUGUGCGUGUAUGUGUGUGUGUGUGUGUUGGGGGGGUUAGUGUACCAGGCUGCACAGCGGUCACCCCCGGCCCGACGCUCUCCACCACACCAGCAGCCUCGUGACCCAGAAUGAGGGGAAACGGCAGAGUCUUCACUCCUUUCUCACAAUCAUACAGAUACGUCCAGUCUGUGUGACACACACCAGUCACUGCUAUCUGCAACACAAACACACACACACACACAGAGCUUUAAUCAGCGAGUGUGUCCAAAAGUCAAGGCUGCAACCAAGAUUUUCUAGAAGAACAGAAGGAACAAACUCCUGUUAGAGCUGAGGAGAAAUACAGACCUUAAUUCUCACUUCAUGCUCUUUAGGUGGAGCAACUUCCACUUCUUCAAUAGAAACAGGCUUCCCAGGUUCCCACGCCACAGCCGCUUUACACCUGAUCACCUAAAAUAACACACACAGAGCAGCACUGUUGAGUAUUAUUAGGUUUACAUGUAAACCACUCAGACAUCAAUGUGGCAGCAAGUUUCUGUAGAACUCGCUCUAUCAAGGAGAGUAAAAUCCUGGAAAUAUGCAGAGGAACCUUCACAUUGUAGGUGAUUUCAAAGAUUUGUAGUAUAGCAAUCUAACGCCGUCCUUGCAGAUGGAUCUACAGCAGCACAAACAGAAUUUUUCAUCUGGUAUGUAUGAACUGGGUAAAAAGCGAAUCAAAUGACUUGAAGAUCAUCUUCUACAUUAUGGAAGAUUCAAAGCUAUCGACUCAAAGCAGCCUAGUCUACUAGUCUACCAAGCAGCCUACUUGGUCUAAUCAGUCAACAUCCUCGAAAUGCUCAAAGGGCUCAAGUGUUAGCCCUGCUGUUGCCAUACACCUUGCUGAAGCUGAAGAAGCCGAAGCUAAAAUUCAAUAUGCAGAGAAGGAAAUGCAGAUAAAGAUGCAAAGUGCAUGUUUGCAUGCAGAGAGGGCAUGUUUAGAGGCAUUAUUAGCAGUGCUAGAUGUUGAAAGGGAAGCCACUCUGGCAGUGGCCGAAGCUGAGGCUCUAUCAACAGCAUUAAGCAGUGACCAAGUAUCAAGCCGUAAAUCCAACGGUCAACACAGACCUGUCACUCAAAGAACUAAAGAGUAUGUACAAGAUCAUUCUAGAUUGCAAGCUAAUGCUCAGCUUGGUCCAUCCACAAUCUAAGGAGAACAACCGAACUGUUUCAAUUUAGUAUGCCACAACUGCCACCAUACGAGAAAGAGACUCUCGAUACAGUCAUAGACUUUGGAUGUUACGAAGUCCCAAAGAAUGUUGUUGACAAUGAAACGCAUAUCCCAGAUAAACAAUCUGAGGAAGCUAUCAGGUAUGCCCCCUACCCAGAUUGAUAUGAUACUAAGCCUUCACAAAGAGUAAAGCUUUCUUCCUCCAUCAAGAACAUUCAGGAUCCUUCCUUUGCUUGUGUAAGACCACCCGAUGAUCUCAGCCACUUACCGGCACAUGCUUACACCCCAACAUGCAGCCACUAGAUGCGGCUAUAAUUGCUCACGAGUGUCUGCAGGUCAAGUCAUGUGCUCCAACUCCACCUCUUCAUGCUCAAUUUUGCAGCAGCACUCCUCGUGCAAACAGUGAUGGGUAUGAAGGUGCAUCUGAUCUUGUUAAAUUCAUGCCAAGAUGAGAAAUUGUUUCCAUGGGUCUUUUUCAAUUUGAUGACUGCCCUGAGAAUUACAGAGCACGGAAAGCAUAAUUCUUCACUGCUACUAAGAAUCUCAAUCUCACAGCUAAAGAGGAGAUGGAUCUCUUGGUCAAGUGGUUAGGAGCAGAUUCUAGUGAGCAAGUGAAGUACAUCAGAGCGGUGCAUGUCAGACAGAGGUCUCUCGAUGAUUUGGGAGUGGUUAGAUGAUUGUUUUGGGGCAUCUGAGGUCAUUGAAAGCCCACUACUCAGGAGAUUAGAGACUUUCCCAAAGAUUUUGAAUAAAGAGUGGAGCUUUUAGUAGCAAAAUCUGAGGGAGUGCUUCUGGGUCUCGCUUGCUUGAACACGGCAUGUGGCAUAGCCGGCAUAGUGUAAAAGCUACCUUUCAGCUUACAAGAUAAGUGGAUGACUCUGGUGUAUACAUUCAAACAACAACACAGAGUUCCCUUUCCCCCCUUUUAUGUACGUGUCAUAGAUCAAGCAGAAUGCGGAAUGAUCCUAGCUUUGCCCUUCCCCUCAAAGCUGAUCAUUCAAAGCCAGAAUAUUCCAUGAGAGCAUCCAUCUCAGUUCAUAAAAUGGAUGUCUCUCCUGAGAGGUCGACAGCUGGUGAAGCUUGAGGAGCUAAGAUGGACUUAGCUAAGUUCUGUCCUCUACAUAAGAAACCACAUCCAAUGUUGUGGGUUUAAAGAGAAAUCCAUUAAAAUUCAGAAAGCCUUUUUGAAGCAGAACGGGACUUGCUUUAAAUGCAUAGCGUCAACAUCACAUUUUGCAAGGAACUGCAAAAAGCUUGUCAAAUGUACCGAACGUGACAGUGAAACACACCACCGAAUGGUCUGCUAAAGCUCACACACUCACUGAAGAUUAUGGCAGAGAGAAGAAAGAUCUGAGUGGUCUUUGAUUCAAGGUGUCUGUACAAUGGUGUUUCGCUUAACAGUGUACUUUUGAAAGGCCCAGAUUUCAACAAUGGACUCCUUGGUGUGCUCUUGCGCUUUAUAAAGGACGCAGUAGCUAUCACUACAGAUAUACAACAGAUGUUCCAUUGUUUACUUCUCAAGCCAGAGGAUAGGAACUUUCUCAGGUUCUACUGGUAUGAAGAUAAUGACCCAAAGAAGAACUUCAUCAAGUAUAGGAUGAAGGUCCACAUCUUCGGUAACAGCCCUUCUCCUGCCGUAGCAAUUUAUGGCCUCAGACAAGCAGCGAAAGAGGCUGAGUCACAGUCCAGAGCAGACGUUUGUAGAAAGGGAUUUCUAUGUGGACGACGGUUUAAGAUCACUACCGUCUGCGGCAGCUGCUAUUGAUCUCCUCAAGAGAACCCAAGCAGCCUUGGCACGUUCCAGUUUGAAGCUUCACAAAAUUACUUCUAACAUCAAGGAGGUCAUGGACAUGUUUCCUUUAGAUGAUCAGGCCAGUAAACUAAGAGACAUGGACCUUGACAAGGUUGCAGUGCCUGUGCAGCAUACCCUUGGUGUUAGGUGGAAUCUUGUAACUGAUACAUUCACAUUUUAGUCAUCAAGUGAUAUGAAACCAUUUACACGAUGUGGUGUCCCCUCUACUGUGAAUGGUCUAUAUGACCACUUUGGGUUUGCAGCUCCAGCUUCAUCCAUGUCAUCCAUGGCAAAGCUCUGAUAACAGAACUCACAACCAAGUCACAUGACUGUAAUCUGCCUUUCCCUUUUGAGAAGAUGGACCUUGGCAACAAUGGAAGGACUCCCUUCAAGAGCUUCAACAUCUUCAGUUCUCUAGACAUUAUAUGAAAGAUUCCCUUUCAGAAGCUUUGCUCAGAGAGCUUUGCAUCUUUUAAGAUGCUUCUGGCCUGGAUAUAGCUGCAGUGGCUUAUCUCAGGAGUUUUAGCCCAGAUAGGAGCUGCAAUUCAAGCUUCAUCUUGGGGAAACCCAAGCUAGCCCCCUGUCCAGAGCUGACCAUGCCACACUUUGAGCUCUGUAGUGCAGUGUUGGCUGUGCAGAUGGCUGACCUUAUAAUGUCUGAGAUGGAUAUCGAGUUUGACAGUGUGGACUUCUUUUCAGACAGCAAAGUAACCCUUAGUGACAUUCAUAAUGAGAAAUGCAGAUUCCAUCUUUUUGCUAAUAACCGUGUUCUAAGAAUAAGAAGAAGCAUGCACCAUCAACAAUGGGACUAUGUGCCAAGCAACUAGAAUCCGGCAGACCAUGUGACUAGAUCCAAACCUGCAGCCCGUCUGAGGGAUAGGACGUGGCUUACCGGUCCACCAUUCUUGUCCUGCCUGAACCAGACAUACCUCACCUCGGGCCCAUUUGACCUCAUUGAUCCUAUGGCAGAUGUCAAAGUUCUACCCGAGGUAACAGCAUUCAUUACCUUAACAAAGGACUACCAGCUAGGCUCAGCACAUUUCAAAUACUUCUCCAAUUGGAAGGUACUUCUUUGGGCUAUUGCAUGUCUAAUACAUAUUGUACAAAACCUACAAAGGAGAACUGGUCAAAGAUGCUGGAAUUUGUAAAAGAUGACAUUGUUGUUCAAUACCAUAUAGUGUAGACGAAUUGAGUCAAGCCAAAAACGGCAUCAUUCGUGCUGUUCAUCAGGAAGCUGUUGCUGAGGAAUCACGGUGCAUCAAGGAUAACAAGAAUAUCUCGAAUAGCAGUCCUCUCUUCACACUGAAUCCCCUCAUAGAUGAGAAUGGACUUAUAAGCGUCGGUGGUCAUAUGUCUCGAGCGAACACUGGAUUCAACGAGAGCAAUCCCAUCAUUAUCCCAUGGCGACAUCACAUUGCAAUAAUAGAUGUAGUAUCUUGUGAUACCUGACAGGGGAGUGUGUUGUCAUAUGUGAUAUUAGAGUAAAAGAUAUGCUGGCCCUUUAAGAGUUGCAGCUUGCUGAUGAUGUUAUCAAUGGUAGACCAGCUUCAGUCUGUUUCCCUGGGAAGUUAUCAGUCCCUUGUUGUGGUUCUUCAAAUCUAAAGCCAUCUGCUACAUUUCUUGACUUUCGGAAGUAUUGUUGUUUUGCCCUACUUCCAGUCAUCCAUUAAAUGAAGUGAAAGUUACAGAGGUGUCCUACAUGACGUUACCUGUGCUGAAGAGUGUUUAUGCUGAAGCGUGUGCUGACGUGUGUUCCUUUGUUACAUACUGUAUUUAUUAUACUAGAACUCUUACAGAAUGUGCUUUCUAUUUUUUGCUGUUUGUCUCAGAGUCAUAAACCCAACACUACCACCUGCUGCACACUCCUGAUAUCCACGAUCACACACUGAAUCUCUGAGAGAACACAAGAACCCGCUCUAGAACAGUUCUUCAUCAAUAAACUACGGAACUCUGUAUAAGUAUAAUGGGUUAAAGACAUAAUCUAGAAGG